UACGUAAGAGACUAGUGUUAAUCAUCAUAAAUAGGUUUAAAGGGUACUCAGACGGAAAAUAUUCGCCUAAAAAAGGGACAAUUUUUCUAGAGUUUUAUGUAAGAAGAUCGUACUCUAGAGUGUAGAGAUCAUAUUUGUUGAUACCUAGGGGACUGGUAAAGGCGAAGGCAACUUCAUUUAUGUAAAAACUGACGUCGAAGGACGAAGGCAAAGGGCACGAACAGG
rnacentral:rRNA from 1 species